rnacentral:rRNA from 1 species
GUCUUUAAGAAAUUAAUUUAAAGUCAAAUCUGCCCAAUGAAUAUUUUUAAAUGGCUGCAGAAUCCUUACUGUACAAAGGUAGCAUAAUAAUUUGUUUUUUAAUUAAAAACUUGAAUGAAAGAUUAAAUGAAAUAUAAACUGUUUCAAUUAAAUUUUAUAUUAAAUUUUUUAUUUAAGUAAAAAAACUUAAAUAAAAUUUAAAGACGACAAGACCCUAUAGAAUUUUAUUUAUAAUAAUUAAAAUUAAAUAUUAUAAAUUUUAUUGGGGUAAUAAAAAAAUUAAAUUAAUUUUUUUUUAAAAAAACAUUAAUUAAUGAAUAAAAAAUCUUAAUUUUUAAAUUAAAAAAAUUAAUUACCUUAGGGAUAACAGCAUAAUUUUUUUUAAAAGAUCUUAUUAAUAAAAAAGAUUAU